rnacentral:rRNA from 1 species
UAGGGAAUCUUCGGCAAUGGGGGGAACCCUGACCGAGCAACGCCGCGCGAGUGAAGAAGGUUUUCGGAUCGUAAAGCUCUGUUGUUAAGGAAGAACGAGUGUGAGAAUGGAAAGUUCAUGCUGUGACGGUACUUAACCAGAAAGGGACGGCUAACUACGUGCCAGCAGCCGCGGUAAUACGUAGGUCCCGAGCGUUGUCCGGAUUUAUUGGGCGUAAAGCGAGCGCAGGCGGUUAGAUAAGUCUGAAGUUAAAGGCAGUGGCUCAACCAUUGUAGGCUUUGGAAACUGUUUAACUUGAGUGCAGAAGGGGAGAGUGGAAUUCCGUGUGUAGCGGUGAAAUGCGUAGAUAUAUGGGGGAACACCAGUGGCGAGGGCGACUCUCUGGUCUGUAACUGACGCUGAGGCUCGAAAGCGUGGGUAGCAAACAGG